GGAGUUAGCCGGUGCUUCUUCUGCGAGUAACGUCACAGAUGUAAGGUAUUAACUUACACCCUUUCCUCCUCGCUGAAAGUGCUUUACAACCCGAAGGCCUUCUUCACACACGCGGCAUGGCUGCAUCAGGGUUUCCCCAUUGUGCAAUAUUCCCCACUGCUGCCUCCCGUAGGAGUCUGGGCCGUGUCUCAGUCCCAGUGUGGCUGAUCAUCCUCUCAGACCAGCUAGGGAUCGUCGCCUAGGUGAGCCUUUACCUCACCUACUAGCUAAUCCCACCUGGGCUUAUCCAUCAGCGCAAGGCCCGAAGGUCCCCUGCUUUCCCCCGUAGGGCGUAUGCGGUAUUAGCAGUCGUUUCCAACUGUUAUCCCCCACAAAUGGGCAAAUUCCCAGGCAUUACUCCACCCGUCCGCCGCCUCGUCACUCUUACUAAACGACAACGUACUUUUAGUUAAAUAGUUACCGUACCGUCGUACUUACGUCAUGUUGUUAGGUCCGUCGCCGCCGACGCGUUACUAACUACUGAGACCGACGAAUACAAACCUACUACGUA
rnacentral:rRNA from 1 species